rnacentral:tRNA from 1 species
UCCUCAGUAGCUCAGUGGUAGAGCGAUCGGCUGUUAACCAAUUGGUCGUAGGUUCGAAUCCUACUUGGGGAG